rnacentral:rRNA from 1 species
GACGAACGCUGGCGGCGUGCUUAACACAUGCAAGUCGAACGGAAAGGCCCUGCUUGCCGGGUACUCGAGUGGCGAACGGGUGAGUAACACGUGGGUGAUCUGCCCUGCACUUCGGGAUAAGCCUGGGAAACUGGGUCUAAUACCGGAUAGGAGCCAUUUUUAGUGUGAUGGUUGGAAAGUUUUUUCGGUGUAGGAUGAGCUCGCGGCCUAUCAGCUUGUUGGUGGGGUAAUGGCCUACCAAGGCGGCGACGGGUAGCCGGCCUGAAAGGGUGGACGGCCACAUUGGGACUGAGAUACGGCCCAGACUCCUACGGGAGGCAGCAGUGGGGAAUAUUGCACAAUGGGCGCAAGCCUGAUGCAGCGACGCCGCGUGGGGGAUGACGGCCUUCGGGUUGUAAACUCCUUUCGCUAGGGACGAAGCUUUUUGUGACGGUACCUAGAUAAGAAGCACCGGCUAACUACGUG